GUGGUACACAUUUGGUGGAGGAACCAGACUGGAUGUUGGAAGUGAAGCCCGUCCCACCUUGAUGGUUCUGCCCCCUUCCAAUGAGGAGCUGCAGCAGGGGAAGGCCACGCUCGUGUGCCUGGCCAACAAGGGCUUCCCCUCAGACUGGAGUCUGGCCUGGAAGGUGGACGGCAUCAGCGGCGGCAGCUGGGAGGAGAGCAGGGGCCCUGCGGUGAUGGAGCAGGACGCUCG